UUUUGUUUUUUUUAGUUUAUAAUGUUACAAUAAAUCAAAAAGAGUGUGAUUCUCCGGCAGGUACUAGCCCAUUUUUCAAUCAACCGUAAGCCUGCCGAAGCAACUAAACUUGAAAACAAGGGUGGGAGUUUUUCGGUUUACCCAAAAAAUACUCGGUAAUGAUCCUUCCGCAGGUUCACCUACGGAAA
rnacentral:misc_RNA from 1 species